rnacentral:rRNA from 1 species
UACGUAGGGUGCGAGCGUUAAUCGGAAUACUGGGCGUAAAGCGUGCGCAGGCGGUUAUUUAAGUCAGGUGUGAAAGCCCUGGGCUUAACCUAGGAAUUGCGCUUGAGACUGGAUAGCUUGGAGUGCGGCAGAGGGAGGUGGAAUUCCACGUGUAGCAGUGAAAUGCGUAGAGAUGUGGAGGAAUACCGAUGGCGAAGGCAGCCCCCUGGGAUAACACUGACGCUCAUGCACGAAAGCGUGGGGAGCAAACAGG